rnacentral:rRNA from 1 species
AUUGAACGCUGGCGGCAUGCCUUACACAUGCAAGUCGAACGGUAACGGGCCUUCGGGUGCCGACGAGUGGCGAACGGGUGUGUAAUACAUCGGAACGUGCCCGAUCGUGGGGGAUAACGAGGCGAAAGCUUUGCUAAUACCGCAUACGAUCUACGGAUGAAAGCAGGGGACCGCAAGGCCUUGCGCGGACGGAGCGGCCGAUGGCAGAUUAGGUAGUUGGUGGGAUAAAAGCUUACCAAGCCGACGAUCUGUAGCUGGUCUGAGAGGAUGAUCAGCCACACUGGGACUGAGACACGGCCCAGACUCCUACGGGAGGCAGCAGUGGGGAAUUUUGGACAAUGGGCGCAAGCCUGAUCCAGCCAUGCCGCGUGCAGGAUGAAGGCCUUCGGGUUGUAAACUGCUUUUGUACGGAACGAAAAGCCUUCUUUUAAUACAGGAGGGUCAUGACGGUACCGUAAGAAUAAGCACCGGCUAACUACGUG